AAUUCAUGUGUUCUUUUUUCUUCUUCCUUACAUGUCCCUUUGUAUCUGCUAAGACCCUGCGUUUGCUGAUAAACCCUAAUUCAAAUUACUCAAAAAUAAAAUAAAAAAUAAUGGUCAAGAAUAAAGCUCAAUCCAAGAAGCAGCAAAAGCGUGGUGUUGAUUUCAAAAAAAUAAGAAGGAAGAUUGGAAGAAAAUUGCCUCCAGCCCAGAAUGCCACCAACACUGAAAUCAAAUCCAAAGCAAUUAUUCUACCUGAGCAAAGUGUAGCUUCAGAGAAGGCUGGUUUAGCUGUGAGCAAGAAAGGUUUAACCUUGAAAGAGCUUCUUCAGCAAACAAGUCAUCACAAUGCGAAAGUUCGUAAAGAUGCAUUAAUCGGAAUUAGAGAUGUUCUUCUUAAAUUCCCAGCUGAAUUGAAACUGCAUAAACUUGCUGUUAUUGAGAAACUGCGGGAACGUAUCAGUGAUGAUGAUAAGUUGGUCCGUGAAGCACUAUAUCAACUUCUCAAAUCAGUUAUUUUUCCUGGCUGUAAAGAGGAUAAUAAGGGGCCAAUCAAUUCCUUGAUGAUGACAUACAUAUUUAAUGCAAUGACACACAUGGCUAUUGAAGUGCGGUUGAUGGCUUUCAAAUUUUUUGACCUCUUGAUUCAGUAUUUUCCAUCUUCCUUUUUGCUGUAUGCUGAAAAGAUUCUCCAGAACUACGAGGACAUUCUGCAGAAGAACAAAUUUUACUUGCAAGACAAGGGCAGGCUAAAGAAUGCCCUUGCUGGGUUGGUCCGCUGCUUGUCACUGUUACCGUGUAGUAAUCAAGGAGAAGGCGACUCCUUAAGUUACAACGAUGCAACUCUUGCUAGCUUGCAUGCUUUUGACCUUGAUCUCUCCGAUAAAUCUACUGAUCUUUCUGGUGUUGUCAACAAAUUGACAGAUCUCUUACCUGUUCUAGUUAGCUGCUUCCAGGACUUUAGUCCAUUAAUCCACUCCAUGGACCAUGUAGAUGUGCAAUCCUUCGAUUGUAUGUUGUUUUUACUUCAAAGCAUUGAUCUUGUGGUCAGGUUCUUUGUUCAUGCAUCUGGCAAAAAUCAACACGACUUCCAAAAUCUGCCACCUGCUCACCAGAAAAACAACCUUAGUAUAUGUGACCAAAGUAUAUCAGCAGUGACUUUAAAAAAGUUAUGGGAUGAGUUUCCUUUAAGUCCGAAUUAUUGCAUGUCAGAGAAGGAUGGCGACCGAUAUUUCAUGCUGAAUAUUGUAAUUACAGAAAUAUUUUUGCAUCUAAGUUAUGGGUCCAAAUUAUCCCCUGCAUUGUUGGAAAGAUUUCUGGAGUUCAUUGAGAGUUCUCUAUCAGAAAAGAAUACCUACAUCCUGCAGAUUUGCAAUGGCAGAGAGGCUGGUAAAGUACAUCACGAGAAGCAUUUAAUUUCACUGGUUGCUUUUAUCCCAAAACUCAUUAUGCAAGUGUCUGUUGCUUGGAAGUCUCGUAUCCUUCAGGCUUUUACGACAGUUUUUGAGAAUUGCAGUCCAGAGUCCUCAAUGAAAUUGGCUUGCCUUUCUGCUGUUGAGGAAAUGCUACUUCCUGAGCAGAAUUGCCUUUAUCUGGAUCCCAAAGAUCUUGAAAUAUUUAAUCAUAGUACAUGGAUAGUGGAGCUUCCAAAGCUGUUAGUCCUCUUAGGUGAUAAACACCCAUUACAUGCAAAGGCUAUGUUACGUCUUCAGCUUCGUGUUGGACAAACUGCUAAUUUGGACUUGACACCGGCAAAAGAAUAUGACAAUAUGCAGUACUUUAUAAGAGCUUUUUACUGCACCUACCCCAAUGGAACUGUAAGCUAUGGUCCGUUCAUGAGGCUUCCUAGAGAUAUUCAGGAGCUCUCUGUGUGCUGCCUGUAUUACUUCCCUUUCUUGGACAAGGUGCUACUCCAGUCUUUAGCUUCAUGUUGCAUAUGUCACGAGUUGGAACCAUUUAUCCUUUUUCGAAUCAUGGAAGUUCUACACUCAGCCUACAAGGCUGGCCAUAUCCAGAUUGCAGAUUACAUUAGCUUCUUCAUCACUUUGCUUUCACGCUUUCAAGUUUAUCCCGAGAAAAUUGAUCCUACUGAGAAGCACGAAGGGAAGUCAAAUCAUGGAACCUUCAAAUCAGUUGUUAGGGCUGUUUGUUCUUGGUUGUCCCAGAUUGGGGAUGAUGUGCUCGUUUUGCAGAUGCUGGAGAAAAUUGUUCUUGAUGAGAUAUCUCACAAACGACCAGUAGACAACAUAUAUGGUUUUAUAAGAUUGCUUAUCACACUAGACUCAAAACCUACUAGACUUUCUGAACAAACUAUCAAUAGACUAAGCGAGGUCCUUCCGGAGUACUUCUUAGAUGUUGUGAAUAACUUUCCAGAGGAAGAUGAUGAGGCUACUAAAUUUUUGAUUCAGCAGACGAGGCAUUAUUAUCUUCUUCCCUGUUUUUUCCUAUUUGAUAGGAGCACAAUGCUGUUAAAUCAGAUAUUGAAAGUGAUGGAAUCAUUUAUCAGGGGAAAUGUUUCAUCACUUUUGCCUCAUCAGAAAGGUGCCUUGGCAAAGGAUCAUUCAAGCAGAAUUCUUUCUGUAGUCUCUGUUCUCUUACUUGUGCUUGGAGAUAUUAAAAUGCAGAAACUUCUUAUAUCAUGCAAGACACAGAUUAGAAAUAUAUUAGAAAGCAUACGCACACUAGAGUCUUCUAAGGAUAUUACGAUGACAAUUGAGGAGAGACAUAAAAUUCGAAGUGCCUAUGACAGACUGAAUGCAGCCAUUAACACAUUGGAAUACCACUAAUCUGGAACUGCAUAUCUUGGCAAGUCUGUUUUUCUCUGCUGCCUAGUGUGUGUGCUUGUACAUUCGACUCGAUGCAGUUCGUGGUAAAGAAAGAAAUCGACAAUGCAAUCGACAUCCAAUUAUCUUUGAUGACAUCUAAAAGCUAAUGUUCAUCAAUUGAGCGGGUAAGUAGGACAUCUGUUCAGAAGGCAUUUCUCAAUCUAACAAGAGGACAUGAACCGUCUAGAAUCCAUAUCAAUUUUCAUAUAAAUGCCUAAUUUUGCCAAGGCAAUGGUAUGCUGUACAUCACAUUAUUACAAUAUGUCAUUAGACCACAUCUCAUAUUGAGACUAAUUCAUCUGCUGUCUGCUGAGACAUUCUUUAAGCUGUAUUCCCUUGGAUAUAUCGUUGAUUUGAGAACGCAGAACGUUAUGAACUAUAGGACGCCUUUGGCAGUUUGACAAACGAAAUUCAGUAUGCUAUAGGAAAUCCGAUAACAUUCUUCCAGAAGUGUCAAAGUCUCUUUUGCUGCAAGAACUUGAGAGACAUCUCUGCCAAUGGUGAACAUCACAAGCCUGCUAGGUCACUGUGUAAGCUGUGUUGUCUGGGACUCUAGCCAACCUCAAUUUGAGUGAUGAUACGUAUGCUAUUUGGCGAUUUUGGUUUUCCCCAUCUGCUGUUUUGGCAUAUACAUAGCAACUACACUCGAGAUUGCAUCUGAUACGGAUUUCUUCAUGUAGUCACCCCCACACCCCCGCCCCCCCACAUUUUGUAUCGACAUUUUUGGUUUUGUAUUUUAGCUACAACAAGAAAAAGCAGAGAGAAAAUUAAGCUACGAGUUCUUCUUCAGGCUGUUCGCGAUGAAUUAUACUAGUAAAUGUUCGAGUAAAAAGUGUCUUCUUUAGAUGCACUGCAACAAGGCGUAAUUUGCCGUGUUUCAAUAUGUAUUUUAUGGUAAUUUGAUAUCUCCAUUUUCUGUUUAAGACUUGUAUAGACAUGCCCAGUCUUGUUUCAAUCAUCAUGAAAAUACUUUCAUGCCAAAAAUAUUUGGUUUUAGUUUCUAUUA